GCUGAUAAGUUACUGGAUCUGAUCUUCAGCCAAUUCUUAAAGUUCUGAAAACUUUCCAAUCUCUGAAGUGUUUGUUUCUCAGCUUGACAAGACAAAGUUUUACGGGGUUCCUUUCUUCUUGGCAUAGAAAGGGACACUGUGUGGGCUAGACUAUCUUCCGCCUUUUCUCGAUCGCGUCGGGACAAAAGAAAAUUUGAUUACAGUUUUGUAGAAAGCUUACAACAGAGAAUUUGAAUACAUUGAAAGUAAAUUGAAUAUUGAUUGAUGAAAACUGAACAUUACAAUUGGCGAAAACAGAAAAUUACAAUUGCUGGUGUAGGGGAUGGAUACCAG
rnacentral:lncRNA from 1 species